AGUGAACGCUGGCGGUAGGCCUAACACAUGCAAGUCGAACGGCAGCACAGCAAGAGCUUGCUCUUACGGGUGGCGAGUGGCGGACGGGUGAGGAAUACAUCGGAAUCUACUUUUUCGUGGGGGAUAACGUAGGGAAACUUACGCUAAUACCGCAUACGACCUACGGGUGAAAGCAGGGGAUCUUCGGACCUUGCGCGAUUCAAUGAGCCGAUGUCGGAUUAGCUAGUUGGCGGGGUAAAGGCCCACCAAGGCGACGAUCCGUAGCUGGUCUGAGAGGAUGAUCAGCCACACUGGGACUGAGACACGGUCCAGACUCCUACGGGAGGCAGCAGUGGGGAAUAUUGGACAAUGGGCGCAAGCCUGAUCCAGCCAUACCGCGUGGGUGAAGAAGGCCUUCGGGUUGUAAAGCCCUUUUGUUGGGAAAGAAAAGCAGCAGGUUAAUACCCCGCUGUUCUGACGGUACCCAAAGAAUAAGCACCGGCUAACUUCGUG
rnacentral:rRNA from 1 species